rnacentral:sRNA from 1 species
GUUUUGUGCUCCUCUUCCAGAAGACAGGAGGGGUCUCUGGUGGUUUCCUGCUCUCAGGGCACCUAGUGUUUAGGCUUCAGGAAGAAGCUUCUGAGGGUGUCGGCUAGGACCUAGGUCUAGGCUUUUCCUAGGCUCAUCAAGUUUUGUUGGCUGCCCUGUGAAAGCCAGAAAGGCGUAUGGGGUCCUGUGAUCUGGGAUUCCCCAAGGCUUUUGGCAGUCCUGGACAAAUACUAGGAAGGGUUAGUGGGCUUUCUAUAACAGCACCCCUGUAGGUGCGGGUUACAGAGAGGUGAUGGGGUGGCAGUUUCAGGUCAGACUUGGGAAGCUCUUUCUCUCUCCUUAGUCAGAGGUAAGUCCUUCAGAGCCCUCACUUGUCAGCCACAUGCCGCCCUCCCCUCUCAGGUGGAGGCUUUUGCGUAGUAGCUGUCCCAGGGGCUGCUAGAGUAACUGAAGCCCCAAGGCCCUGGGAAGAUAAAUAGUCUGAACCAGCUCUGGCUUUCUAGAUCCUUGAAUUUCUGUUAGGCUCAAUUAUCCAGCCUAAUGGGCUGCGCUGAUGGGUCCCAGGAGCAUCACU